CGUAGUCUGGGAUAUGUAGGAAGACCCGCUG
rnacentral:rRNA from 1 species